rnacentral:rRNA from 1 species
CUUGCUUCUCUGAGACUUAGCGGCGGACGGGUGAGUAACACGUAGGUAACCUGCCCAUAAGACUGGGAUAACUACCGGAAACGGUAGCUAAUACCGGAUAGGUUCUUCUCUCGCAUGGGAGAGGAAAGAAAGACGGAGCAAUCUGUCACUUAUGGAUGGACCUGCGGCGCAUUAGCUAGUUGGUGGGGUAACGGCUCACCAAGGCGACGAUGCGUAGCCGACCUGAGAGGGUGAUCGGCCACACUGGGACUGAGACACGGCCCAGACUCCUACGGGAGGCAGCAGUAGGGAAUCUUCCGCAAUGGGCGAAAGCCUGACGGAGCAACGCCGCGUGAGUGAUGAAGGUUUUCGGAUCGUAAAGCUCUGUUGCCAGGGAAGAACGUCUCUUAGAGUAACUGCUAAGAGAGUGACGGUACCUGAGAAGAAAGCCCCGGCUAACUACGUGCCAGCAGCCGCGGUAAUACGUAGGGGGCAAGCGUUGUCCGGAAUUAUUGGGCGUAAAGCGCGCGCAGGCGGUCAUUUAAGUUGGGUGUUUAACCCCAGGGCUCAACCCUGGGUCGCACCCAAAACUGGAUGACUUGAGUGCAGAAGAGGAGAGUGGAAUUCCACGUGUAGCGGUGAAAUGCGUAGAGAUGUGGAGGA